rnacentral:tRNA from 1 species
GGUGGCUCAGUGGUAGAGCGCUUGCCUUGUGGGCAUGAGGCCUUGGGUUCGAUUCCUCAACACCA